rnacentral:rRNA from 1 species
GAUGAACGCUAGCGGCAGGCUUAAUACAUGCAAGUCGAGGGGUAACAGGUCUGUAGCAAUACAGAUGCUGACGACCGGCAAACGGGUGCGGAACACGUACAGAACCUUCCUUCGAGUAGGAGAUAGCCCAGGGAAACUUGGAGUAAUAUCCCAUAGGAUCAUAGAGUGGCAUCACUUAGUGAUUAAAGAUUUAUCGCUUGAAGAUGGCUGUGCGGCUGAUUAGGUAGUUGGUGUAGGUAACGGCUCACCAAGCCUUCGAUCAGUAACUGGUGUGAGAGCACGACCAGUCACACGGGCACUGAGACACGGGCCCGACUCCUACGGGAGGCAGCAGUAAGGAAUAUUGGGCAAUGGAGGCAACUCUGACCCAGCCAUGCCGCGUGGAGGAUGAAGGUCCUCUGGAUUGUAAACUUCUUUUAUUUGGGAAGAAAUGCCGAUUUUCUAAUUGGUUUGACGGUACCAGAUGAAUAAGCACCGGCUAACUCCGUGCCAGCAGCCGCGGUAAAAC